rnacentral:lncRNA from 1 species
UAGUUCCAUUGUCUUGCUAUCCGAUGCUCUGCAGAUUAGAAGUUGAUGAGUGCAAAGAACUAGUCUGCCGGACUCCGAUUGAUGUUGAGUUGAUAAAGUCUAUGACUAUUUCAAAUAGUUCAUUAGACCUGAAUGGAUGCAAGGGGAUGCUAUACGAUGGUUCAGCUGGCUCUUCACUGCCAAAGCCCAUGACUACUACAAAUGUUUUGGAGUUUGGAAAAUUAUUGAAGCCUGGAUUUCAGAUAUUCGAAACUUUGGUAAUUGGCAAUUCUGAACAGCUCAAGUCAUGGAGGCAGCAUGGGGAUUUUCCGAAAAAAUACAUGGUCACUGACCAUGGGUUUAAGAAACCAGUACGAGGGCUGAAUAUGCUCGCUUCCCCUGAAGAGGUAACAAUUGAAGAAAGUUGCGUACGUCUUGUUUUGUUUCCAGAGAUCAAUUUCUUUCCCAGAAAUCUGCGCUCUCUUCUAAUUGAUAACAGCACUGCUUUCAAAUCCUUACCCGAGGAAAUGAUGGAAAACAAUUCACAACUGGAAAGGUUGUAUAUCAGAGAUUGCGACUCUCUAACAUUCAUCGCAAGACGGAGGCUACCAGCAUCUCUUAAAAGGCUUGAGAUAGAAAAUUGUGAGAAAUUGCAACGUCUGUUCGAUGAUGAAGAGGAUGCUUCUUCUUCUUCUCCUGCAUCCUCGUCUUCCCCAGUGAUGCUGCAACACCUGAGAAUAGAGAACUGCCCAGAGCUCACCAGUUUAUCAUCGGGUGUCCAAUUCCUCGAGGCGCUUGAAUACCUCGAGAUACGGGAUUGUCGAAAGCUAGAGUCAAUACCGGAUGGCCUGCCCAAUCUUAACUGUUUACAGAGCAUUCAUAUAUGGAAAUGUGACAAGCUCGAAGCCCUGCCCACUGACAUGCACAAACUCAACUCUCUUCGAGAUUUAAGCAUAUUGCGGUUUCGAAAUCUUGUAUCGUUUCCAGAAGAAGGUUUUUCUACCAAUCUAACAUCACUUAUAAUUGGAUAUGUCAAAAUGUGUAAGACACUCGUCCAGUGGGGGUUGCACAGGCUUACCUCUCUUAAACGCCUCUGGAUUGUUGUACGUGAUGAUGAAGCAGAGUGUUUUCCAGACGAGGAGAUAGGAAUGACGCUGCCCACCUCUCUCACUGAUCUGGACCUUUCGGGAUUCGAAAAAUUGAUAUCUCUGUCUUCGACGGGUUUUCAGAGCCUCACCUCUCUUCAAUCUUUGUGGAUAUUGGGUUGCCCAAAUCUCACAUCAUUUCCAGAGGUGGGCCUUCCAUCCUCACUUUUGGAAUUACACAUUAGAGAUUGUCCAAAGCUUAAAAAAGCGUGCAAAAGAGAUGAAGGAAAAGAGUGGCCCAAAAUUGCUAACAUCCCUCGCGUUGAGAUAGACAGCAAAUUCAUAUACGAUCCAGAAUCAGAGGAGUAGAUUCUACUAUUAAGGUCAGUUGAUUUGUAUUAUCCGCUAUAACAAGCCCCUCCUUUUUUUUUCUUUUUUUUUUUAAAUAAUAAUUUUGCAGUCACUCACGUGAUUCCGUUUUCACAAGUCAGAUUGUAUGUUGAGGCUAUUUGCCUUCUAAUCGCAGAUUAAAUUAUAACACUUAUCUUAAAAUUUAAUACCAUAGAUAGAUAGACGAUUUUUUAAUCCAAAGCUUUUUUUAUUCACUUCAGUUAGCAUUUUUUUUUUCCCCAAAUCAUGCAAGCCGAGAGUUUCAAUCAAGAAUUGGAGGAUGUGAAUGGGAUUUUUGUGAAAGAGUAACAUAAUGGAUGACCGAACAUUUCAUAUGUGAUCUCAAAGUCAACAGAAUUUUAUUCACUCAUUGACUUUUCAACUGCUGUGGUUAUUUAUGGGUGAAAGAAAGAUAAGGGCAAUUACAAAAAAUUUGCAAAAUUUGUCAAUUUCUUAGAUGGUAGAUAUAUCUACAUUUUAGAUUUCAUAUAUUUUGAUGCUUUUUUAAAUUUUUGAUCUAGUAAAAAUACAUAGCCUUCACCGGCAGGAUUCAAGUCUUGUCUUCAAUGGGUUUUCAAAGCCUCGCCUCUCUUCGAUUUUUGUGGAUCGCUUCGAUUUUUGCACAAAUCUCACAUCAUUUCCCGAGGUCGAGGAAAAGAGCGGCCCAAACUUGCUCGCAUCCCUUGGGUUAUGAUAGAUGGAAAAUUCAUAUACGAUCCAUAGUCAGAGGUGUAGAUUCUCUUAUUAAGGUCAGCUGAUUUCUAUCAUCCACUCUGACAAUCUCCUAUUAAUGUUUUUCCAUUUUUUUUUUCAAAAUUUUGCUGUUCCGUAUAAUUGAAAAUGCCACUCACUUGUUUCCUAUUAGUAUGUUGAGGCUAUUUGCUUUCCAUCAGUGUUUGUUAAGGUAAUUAGUGCUCCCUCAUAGGUAUGACUGGAUUUUUUUCACUUCCGUAAAUAUUGCAUUUUAGACUGGCAAAUUUAGCAGUAAUUUUAAUACAAUUUUGUUGGUGCCUUUUGUUCCAGAAGCUAGAAAAAUGUGUAGUUUUCAGAUAAGGAGGCUCGUCAGUUCUUUAGUAAGAAUCCAAUAAUUUGCUUUUGCACGUCCAUCUAAUUUGUGGAUCCUUGCAUCAGAAUUUGAUCAAUCCAAAAGGAAUUGCUUUUAGACAGAAAAAGAAUAGCAGUACCUAGCCUAUGUCAUAGUGUAUGGACCCGCAAACCUGAAACUAUUAGAUUGAGGUAAAAAAAUCAUUGACCCUCACAUGUUAACUUCUUCUAGUUACUUUCGUUGGGAAAAAAACAUUUAAGGAAUUUGCAAUUUGUUGUUAGUUAUGGUAUCUGAUGUUCUUUUCUGUUUUAGCGUUUGUAGAGUCUACUGUAUUAUGUGUUGGCAGUUGCCGUAUCUGAGGUAACUUGCCUUUAUUUGCCAGAGAUUUAGAGAAGCAUCUCAAAACACAGCAAACUUGAAAAACUUCAAGAUGCACUUGCCCCCACGCCUUAUUCUCCACAACACAAAACUUGUGAGUACACCUAUGCCUGCAAUUAUUGUGAAGUGUUCGCAAUUCUGAUGCAGAGAAAUGGUUUCUUGAUGCAAAGUAUUAAACUGUUAAGAUUUAUCCUGCAGGCUUGUUUGAUGCUGUAUACUCGAAAAGCCAACAACAUCAAGAACUACAACUCCAAGACCAGCUUUGUGUUAAUUCAGUCAGCUGUAAUAAUGAUGCAAAUGACACUAUAUCAAGCUGGACUUAGAGACUAGUCAGAUCAAUCAUCCAUUUCAUGAACGGUUAAUGUCAUGAUGGUGGCUAUCAGAGGAAACAAAAGAUGUGUCGGAAUCUAUACGAACAUUGAGAAGCGUGAGAGGAGCUUUGAUUUUGAGUAGGGUCAAUGAACUCAUGUUGGUAAGUGGUAAUUAAAGAAAUUUGUAAGCUUAAUAGAGUUUCAGUAUUUUCUGUUUGGAGUAUAGUUGAUAAGUUGACUCUGUUUAAGAAGCCCUAUUAUAGUAGUUGACUGUAUUAUCCUUUUUUUUUUGGUCUGCUGUUGUUUUUGGUUUCGAUUAUUUUUUCAACAUUGGGUUGAUCUGUUGAAGAACAAGCUUGGGUUUGAUUAUGCUUUAACUACAAGGAAGAGCCAGACUUGGAUGCAGGCGUUAAGCUUUUAAUGGGUAAGAACAAAUGAAUGCUUUAACCAUGUUUCUCACUUAUUAAAAUGCACGGAUUGAAGGCAUCUAGGUUGAUCCUGACAAUGUGAUGGAAAUACUUCUCUGUUUUCAUAUAAUAGGACAAAUAGAGAUCUCUGAUCAUGCCUGAAUUUUUGUUGCAUUGAAAUUUCUACCAUUACCAAACAUAGAAUGAAUUCAUUAGCUUAAGCCUCAAUUUUGAGAAGGAAGUUUGUACUUGCAGCCUAUAAAAUCAUGUCCGUGUCGUACGUUUCUUUGGGAAAUGAAAGAUUCUGUGUUCUUUUAUUUCAAGUUCACUGAAAUCACAUUUGUUUCCUCAGAUGCUUUCCAGAAGGUAACAACAUCAAUUUCAAAAAUGCUGGGGCAAGAUGCAUCAUGCAGUGCGACUCAACUUGAGAAUUCCUGGCCACAUUACCCGUAUGUCGAAUGAUCGCACAGUACAACCUUUAGAAGCUUGUAAUGAGUACACAACUGGGUGCAAGUAGUUUCGAAAUGAAUUUGCCUCAAAUGAUUUCUUGCUCACAUCCCUUGGGUUAUGAUAGAUGGAAAAUUCAUAUACGAUCCAGAGUCAGAGGUGUUGAUUCUCUUAUUAAGGUCAGCUGAUUUCUAUUAUCCACUCUGACAAUCUCCUAUUAGUGUUUUUUUUUUAAUUUUGCACUUCUGUAUAAUUGAAAUGCCACUCACUUGUUUCCUUCUUCACAGGUCAGAUAGUAUGUUGAGGCUAUUUGCUUUUUAUCGGUGUUUGUCAAGGUAAUUAGUACUGCCUCAUAGGGUUGAUUGCUCACAGAUGAAAUUAUAACUUUUAUCUUAAAAUUUAAUAGCAUACACAGAUAGACGAUUUUUAGUCUAAAGUUUUUUUAUUCACUUCAGUCAAAAUUUUAGAUUGCAGAUUAUUGUCAAGUAUUUCAUUACAAUUUUUUCAUUUUUUAUUUUAAACCAGAAUAUGAGUAUAACAUUUUGGAGCGUGCAUACUCUGAUGCAUGCAAUUAACUGUUUUUAAUCAUUGGAUUUUGUAAUUAAUGAUGGUAAGAUGUGUACUUAUUCUGUCUUCCAACAACCUUGCCCUCUUUCUUCGGUCGCAUAUCUAAUGAAUAUUUCUCUGUUUAGUUAAGGAUGAAUGCUUGGAGUGGGGUACUUGGUAACAUUUCUGCCUCAGAUGAAUCCCUGAAGAAAUGCCUACGGUUCCUGAGACCAAAUACAGGUCUGAUUCAAACAGCACCUUUCCCAGAAAAUAUGAUCCAAGGCAAAGUCAUGUUCUGAUAAUGUUUCCUUAAGUACAAAGUUGCAAGGAAACUUGAUUCAUUAACUACAGUUUUUUAUUUUUAGGACCUUGUAUCUGAAAGGUUCAGUGUAUUUUUUUUUUUUCAAAUUAUUUGUUCAGAUCUCAGAGGAGUAUAUGGUUUAGAUUACAAAACACUUAUGAUCAAUUUCAUUUUUUUUUUUUUAAUCUCAGGGAGAAGAAGUGGUCAGUUUCAAUCCGGAAUUGGAAUAUGGCAAUUUGGUUCAAGCACACACACCCGGUCACUUGGUCAGUGAACCUGAGCUUUAUGCAGUUUUUUCAACUUAGUGAUUUUUGGAACACAUAUUGGUGUAAGGAAAUCAAAAGAAAUUUAUGCAUAGUCAAAUUCUGAUAUUUGCUAUAUAUUAUACAUUCUAAAGUUUCUCCAGUUUGUUCUCAGAUUACCAUCAUUUUUUUGCCUUCACCCAAAAAAAAAAAAAAAAUCGAGUGGCUUUCCGGUGGAUAUUUAAUCGGAGGUAUGACUGGAUUUUUUUCACUUCUGUAAAUCUUGCAUUUUAAACUGGCAAAUUUAACUUUAAUUUUAAUACGACUUUGUUGGUGCCUUGUGCUCCAGAAACUAGAAAGAUGUGUAGUUUUCAGAUAAAGGGGCUUGUAAAUUCUCUAGUAAGAAUCCAAUAAUUUGCUUUUGCACGUUCAUUUUAUUUGUGGAUCCUUGCAUCUGAAUUUGAUCAAUCCAAAAGGAAUUGCUUUUAGACAGAAGAAGAAUUGCAGUACCUAGCCUAUGACAUAGUAUAUGGACCUGCAAACCUGUAACUAUUAGUUUGAGGUAAAAAAUUCAUGACCCUCACAUGUUAACUUCUUCUAGUUACUUUCAUGAAAAACACAUUUAAGAAAUUUGCAAUUUUUUGUUAGUUUCGUAUCCGAUGUUGUUUUCUGUUUUAGCAUUUGUAGAAUCUACUGUAUUAUAUUUUGGCAGUUGCAGUAUCUGAGGUAUGUUUUGCAUUUAACUUGCUUUAUUUGUUUUGCUUGUGACUUAAGAACACCAAUAUUUGCCAGAGAUUUAGAGAAGCAUAUCAAGCUGCUUGGCAAACUUGACAAACUUCAAGAUCCUCCAUUCUUCACAACGCAAAACUUGUGAGUACACCUAUGCCCGCAAUUAUUGUGAAAUGCUUGCAAUUUUGAUGCGCUGAAAUGGUUUGUUGAUGCAAAGGUUUAAACUUUUAAGAUUUACCCUGCAGGGUAGUUGGAUGCUGUAUACUCGAAAAGCGACCAACAUCAAGAACUAUGACUCCAAGACCGGGUUUGCAUUAAUUCAAUCAGCUGAAAUCAUGAUGCAAAUGACACUAUCAGCUGGACUUAGAGACCGGUCAGAUCAAUCAUCCAUUUUAUCAACAGUUAAUGUCAUGAUGGUGGCUAUUAGAGGAAACAAAGGAUGUGUUGGAAUCAAUGUGAACAAUGAGAAGAAUGAGAGGAGCUUUGAUUAUACGUAGGUUCAAUGAACUCAUGCUGGUAAGUGGUAAUUAAAGAAAUUUGUGCGCUUAGUAGCAUUUCAAUAUUUUCUGUUUGGGAUAUAGUUGAUGAGUUGAUACUCUGAUUAAGAAGCCUGAUUAUAGUAGCUGACUUUUUUUUUGUGGUUUGCUGUUGAUUUUUCUUUUGAUUAUUUUUUCAACAUUAGGUUGAUCUGUUGAAGAACAAGCUUGGGUUGAUUAUGCUUUAACUACAAGGAAGUGCCAGACUUGGAUGCAGGCGUUCAGCUUUUAAUGGGUAAGAACAAAUGUAUGCUUUAACCAUGUUUCUCACUUAUUACAAUGCACGCAUUGAAGGCAUCUGAGCUGAUCCUGAAAAAGUGAUGGAAAUACUUCUCUGUUUACAUAAAACAGGACAAGAGAUCUCUGAUCAUGCCUGAGAAUUAGUUGCAUUGAAAUUUCUACCAUUGCCAAAAAUGGAAUAAACUAGGAAUACAUUAGCUUAAGACUCAAUUUUGAGAAGGCAGUUUGUACAUGCAGCCUAAAAAAUCAUGUCCGUGUUGUAUACUUGUACGUUUCUUUGGGAAAUGAAAGAUUCUGUGUGUUCUAUUAUUUCAAGUUUGCUGAAAUCACAUUUGUUUUCUUAGAUGCUUUUGAGAAGGUAACAACAGCAAUUUCAAAAAUGCUGGGGUAAGAUGCAUCACGCAGUGCUACUCAACAUGAGAAUUCCGGCCGCAUUACCUGUAUGUUGAGUGAUCGCACAGUACAACCUUUAGAAGCUUGUAAGGAGUAGACAACUAGAUGCGAGUAGUUUCAAUAUGGAUUCGCAUCAAAUGAUCUCUUGCAAGUGAUUACUAUAACCUCUAUCCCAAAAUUCUUGGAACUGGUCAUACCAAUAAUGAAGUAUUGUGUAUGUUGAAGACAUAGCUCAAGGCCUUGCGAAAGCUUCGUCAGCCUUUGUAUUGGAAAACAGUUGGUUGUAGUUGCUUCUGAAUGAUAUUGUUAAUAGAUACUGUAAAAAUGAACUGUGCCACUCAUUUUCAGAGCCCUGUUAAGAUGUGUUGGUAAUGUGUUUGAAGGUUGUUUGAUUUAUGUUGUAUUCAGCUAUAAAUCAAAGAUUCAGAACAUGGUUAUGUUACUGGUUUCCAAAUCAAAAAAUUGCCUUGUGAUGUUAGUGUUCAUUGUUUUCACAGGAGAUCAGGUUCCCUGUUGAUGAAUCAAGAAGGCAAACGCAUCCAUGUCUUAAGUUCAAAUGUGUCUCUUCUAUUUUCUAUUACUGACUCCUUUAUUUUGAUUUCUUCAUUGUAAUGGAAUUGGUUUUUUAUUCCAAAUUAGUCAAAACCUCCUAGAGUCAUUAAGUUCUGUUAGCAUUUGAAGAUAGAACUAGAACUAAAUGAUUGACUGGAUUAAAUUCCGAUAAAGAAUUAAGUUAUAUAUUUAGAGAUAUUAUGUUUUUUUUUUUCAUUUGUUCAAUUUGGUUAGUGGUGAUUUCUUAAAGACUCAAUCCAUGUGCGUUUAUGCAUUUUUAUUUUGCCUUAAUUUCUGUUUCUUGGGGAGUUUAUACAGAUUCUUAUUUUAUGCUUCACAUGCCACAUGAAAGAUCGAAGCCUUUUGUGUGAUUAGAACUGACUUGCAUCACAGAAGUAGAUUGAUAGAGUAGAUAAUAGUAGAUUUCGCUUUAGUAUCGGAAAUUCCAUAAUUAUGCUUUUCUCUGCACUAUUUUCAAUAAAAUUAUAAAAAUCAAAACAAAAUUAUUACACAGUAAAGACUUUAGAGACAAGUACCCCCAAUAGGAUCAAGCAAAUAUGCUCUGCACAAAAUUAUUUCUUGUUCUUUUUCUUUUUGACAAUUUUAUUUGUGGUUUCAACUUUUAUGCUUUAUUGUCAUAUCUCGUUGAGGGCUCCGCUGCACCCAUUACAACUUACCCCCAUAUUGUCUUUUACUGACUAAACCGUUAGAUUUGAUGCUGAAUUUUAAUUAUACCAUCAAAUUUCGUUUAGCUCCUUAAACUCCAUUUUAUUUGUAAUUUCUUCAUAAAAUAUUCAAAGCUUCAUCAAGCUCCUAAUGGACCAUCAUGGCUAGGGGUGCGUUAGAGCCGAACUGAAAUAUGUUAGUUCAGUUCAGUUUGGUCAGUUUAAAUUGAAUGGUUUAGGAAAUAUAAACUGAUCAAUUUUAAUUUUGAAUUGAACUGAACCGAAAAUCAAUUGGUUCAGUAUUAGUAUUUUUGCAUAAAUAUAAAUUAUUAGCGAUUAUAAUUAAAUUGGACUAAAAAAAAUUCAAACUAAGGUGAAAAACAUCAAAUCUUAGAUAAUAUAAAAGAAAAAAUAUUAAAUUUUAUAAACCAAAAUGAACCGAAUUAUUUUUACUCAGUUUGGUUCAUAUUUGGUUCGUAAUUUUUUAAACCAAAUUGAUUUAUAUCCACACCCUAAUCAUGGCCCUCUAUCUUCAGUCAUUCACCCUUGAGUUUGAUGCCAAUUGUUGGGUUUCAAAUUAUUAUACACUCAAAUGAAACCCCUCAUAACCAAAAACUAACAGAAACAAUAAGAACACGAUGUUAAUAUCUUAAAUCAAUCACAAAAAAGCACUCAAAAUUAAUUGAUUAGGAGCAAUUAACAACAAAAGAUUUGAUGGUUCAAAAUCAUAAUGUGACCUAGUUCCAUCCAAGAAUCAUACUAAUUGCUUUACUAGUUGUCAAAUUGUUGUGCAAAUUUUAUUAAACUCGCAAGUGCACGAAUCUAUUGUAGAAUAGAUCAAUGGUGACGAGUGUCGAUCCCAUAAGGAGGUUGAUUUUUAAUUAUGUGUAGAAUUAAUGUUCUAUGAGGAUGGUUGGAUUUGUGGUGGAAGUGAUUUAGAUUAUACUAGAAUUUAAAUUGGAAUGGUAGAAUUAAAUUAAAGUGGAAACUAUUAUAAUUGAAGCGCUUGGGUAUUUGGAUCCGUAUCAACAUGCACCAUUGGCUAAAUAUUCCUUAUUAGUAUCAAUUAAAUCAUGAGGGGGGAAUCCACACCUCAUGAACUACACUCUAAUCAAUAUGGUGCUAAGGGCUUAUCGUGCCAAAUAAUAAUAACCUUAUACUAGGGAGUCGGUGAAACUAUGGUAAUAUCUAGACAAGAUUAUUACUAUUUGUCGACGAAAAGUCAAAACAUCCACAAAAAUUAGAGGGGAUGAGAAAGUAAAUUUACCAAUUAAAGCCCAUGGCACAUGUUGAGACUUCACUUUCUACCCAAGCUUGAAAGAAAAUUAGCUACUCAUAAUUAAACUAUGGAUAAAAUGAAAAUUUAUUAAAAUACAUAGAAAAUACAAGAUAGAAAAGAAAUUAUAGAAAAUGGAGCUCAAAAAUGAAUUCAGAGAUGCCAAAUUAGGGGGGAGAGACUCCCUUUUUAUAGAUAUUUGAUUAAAUCAUGGCCAUCGAAUUAAAACCAGUUUGGACACUCAGGAUUGUGCCACGUCAUCAAUCAACAGUACGCGGUUUGAACAGUGACACGGUUUGACCACGCGGUUUGAACAGUCAACCGGCUUGAAUAGUGACGCGGUUUGGUUGAAAAUAAUCCUAUUUAUAUGCAUGUACCGUACGCGCGAUUUUUGGUCUACUAACAUGCUGCAACGUCACCGAUCAACAAUGCGUAAGAAUUUUAUCCAAUAGAAUCGUGACACCUCAUUAGUCAAUGUCACAUUAACGUUCAAUGCCAUGUCAUCGUUCCGUAGGUGUGAAUAAUGUCGUGAACAGUAACAUAGACAGUAUCGUACGUGUAAAUAGUGUUGUGUAUGUGAACAGUGAUAUUUUUCCUUUUAUGCUCCUCCUACAGUUUUCGACUGUUCUAAGUUCAAAAGUGAUGUCCGUUUUGCCGUCUGAUCUCUCGUUUAUUGUGAAAAGACCAUGAUGCCUUUAAAAUAUAUAAAAUACUUAAUUAAAAUAAAACACACAUAAUUAAAUCACAAGAAGCUUAAAUACAUAAAAGUAGAAGUGUUAGUAAGACUUGAAAUGUAAAAUGACGAUUUUCUCCUUUAUAAAUAUACAUUUUCUAACACUCAACACAAAUACAAGAUCACAAGAUUGUUUAUCACUCGACAGAGAAAUUGUUUUUAGAAGAAAUACUCCUCAAUUUUUCUGUUAAUAGUUAUGAAUCAACACCCGCAUAAAGGCUAUUGAUUUACUUUUCCUUAUUUCCAACAUAGUCCAAACACUUUUCAUGUUACAGGCGUAGUGCACCUUCAGAAACUUUACAGCUCCUCUUAAAACCUCAAGCCUAUAGAGUGUAAUUUCGCACUAUAUGCUCAGUCUUCUCAUGAUGUUUCUGAUUUAUUUCUCGGACGAGUAACACUUUUAGCUGUCAUAAUACAAUGUAAUUGACUUUUAGCUGUCAUAAUUUUGAGAUCAUUACUUUUAAUUAAAUGAUCUCCUCUACAGCUUCUACCUAUGUAGUGUUUUAGACCUCUAUAGUUGAUCAAGCAUGUUCAAGGUGAAGGCUUGUUUUCCAAUCUAUAGUCCAAUUAUAGACUGGAAAUGGUUAGGCUUAAUGCACCUUCAAAAGCUUCACAACUUAUAUAGAAACCUUAAGCCUUAUAGAAUGCUACAAAUUUUAAAUCCACAUACUUAGUGCUCUUAUGAUUUGUUUGAUUUUUGCUUAGAUGAAGAGCACUUUAGCUAUAGACUACAUUGUAACUAAUUCAAAGCAUGCCUUAGCUACGAGAUCAUUCAUUCUAGCCAAAUGCCCCCUUUAGAGAUUCUGCUAUUGUUGUGUAUUCAGCCUCUAUAUUUGGCAAAGCAAUUACAUGUCGAAGGCUUGCUUGCUUUCCAGUUAACAGCGCAAUUACAUAGAUUACAGGUGUAACCAGGCAAAGAACUUAGUUAUUCUGCCAAGGUCUCCAACAUACUCCAAAUCCAUAUAACCGCCAGACUUCAAUCUUUAGACUCCAUAGAUCAAACCAUAACUUAGUGUGCCUUUCAAUCUCAGGUAACAUUUUACUGUUUUCCACGUCUUGCCAUGUACUUGCUGCUAACACUAACAAUUUGAGAAAUGUUAGGCAUCGUAAGCAGCCGACAACACUCUUCUUCAUUUCUUCAUUGUCAAUUUCCUUCUUGGAACAUUGCUCCAUUGAGAGUCUACUAUCAUUGCUCCAAUUAUUAUUAUUUUUGUUUUUUUAAAAAAAAAAAUUAACCCUACAAUAAGAGUAUAAGACUAAGCAACGGUCCUUUUUUUUCCCAUUCUUGAGCAUGAAGUAUUUGAGUAUGCAAUAAAAAUUGUUUAUUGAUAAUUAAAAGUUAGUAGUGGGUGGCUUUAGGUUUUGUUUACAAAAUUGACAACAAAUUGAGAUUUUUCAAAUUCAUAGGUAAGAAACUUUUCAUUUAUUCAUAGAUUUUCCGGUUUAAACUUUAAAGAAAACUUAAAAGAAAAAGAUGUAUCAUUAGACUUGUAAUUAAAAAAAUUUAAUAUUGUAUGAUCUGUUCGAUAUGCAUAAUUUAAAUAAACAUUAAUAUAGAUGUUAUAUAUCCUAAAACUUAAUUGACUUAAUUCUUACGGUGCAAGGAAGAGGUUUCCAAGUUUAAAUCUAAAGUCUUGUAUUUAAUUUGGGGUCGGGAAAGCACCGGGAAAUAAAUGUAACAAAGGAAAAAAAAAAAAAAAAGAAUGACAGUCUGAGUGGAGCCAACACGGUUUUGAAAAAAGUGCAAAAAAGGGUUUAAAAAAAAAAAACGCGGUUUGUAAAGGAAAUAAAAGCUUUUCAUUGAAUUAAGACCACUACACUCAAAUACUCUAUUAUCACCAACGAGGUCGUGGUCUAGUGGUGCCAGGGGCUAGGCUUGGUAGGGCGAACUACGGUUCGAUCCCCCGCACGCACGUUGGGAGGAGUUUAAAACCUUAACCCCGGGACGCGCUCCGAAACCGGAUUAGUCGGCCCGAUGGGUUCGGAUACCGGUUGGUUAGCACCAAAAAAAAAAAAAAAAAAUACUCUAUUAUCGUUUGUUUGCUUGCUUGUGGAAAUAAAAGUCUCAUGUUUCUUUGAAAGGUAAGCAAGUGUGAGUGUUUCUAUCUAGAGCUGGAAAAUGCAUUUCCGUGCAACUUACUUGAUGAAUGAAGUUUUCAUCUCUGACCUUGAUGUUUCCCUGAGCUGCAUUCGUUGCAGCUGAUGUAUUUCAUUUUGUUUUCGAAGGAGUGACACAAAAUCUCCUUUGUUAAGGUGAGAAUUUAGAGUGGCUUUAACUGUUAACAAAUAGCCUAAUGUAAGACUUAAUCAACUUCCUGCCCUGUUGUAUGCUUAUGAAUUUUGAUAGAGUUAUGAGUUUGCAGAAGCUACUGUAUUAUAUGUUGAUAGAGGCUGUAAAAAUGAGGCAGAUCAAACACACGUUUAAAUUUCAGUGACAAUUUACUGGAAGUAAAUUUCCUAUGACCCUACAUGUGACUAAUUGAUGAGAAGUUGACAAAUGACAAAAGAAAUUGUACGAGCUUUGCAGGCUGGCAUGCCGAUAUUGACUGCAUGGCACCAUCCGCCAUUUGGAAGUGAAUAUCAUUAUUCUUUAAUCAACAUGGUGGAGUCCACUGGGACCACACCACAUGGUCAGUCAUAUCUCUAUUCCUCAAUUUUCAGUAUUCCAUACAUCAAAACAAUUUCAGUUUUGUUAUCAAUUAUAAUUUCAUUGUUGGUGACGAUUCUGAUUCCUUUCUUUCUGACAAAACGGAACCAUGUUUGCUGUGGGAGAGAUCUUACUCAACGCCUUCUUUCAGGUGUUGUUCGACAGGUUGGCUUCCCGCGAUUUGCUCAGCUUUGUCCGUCAACUUGGAGGCGGGGUCGAUUCCGAGCUCAAGAAGUGGGAAAGAAAGCUGAAGAUGAUUCAGGCGGUGCUCAACGAUGCAGAGGAGAAGCAACUGACUGACGAGGCUGUGAAGACGUGGCUGGACGAUCUCCAAGACUUGGCUUAUGACGCUGAGGACAUUCUUGAUGAGUUUGCUACUCAAGCUUUGGAAAGCAAGUUGAUGGCGCAAAAUCAGGAUAGCUCUGGCCAGCUUCUCAGUUUCAUCCCGGUUAGUUUGAAUCCGAAUGCUGUUAGGUUCAAUUAUGGCAUGAGGUCCAAGAUUAACGAUAUUACCAGCCGGUUGGAGCAACACUGCAAAGAUAGAAUUGAACUUGGGCUGCAACGGAUUCCUGAAGGGGCAUCAUCAACUGCUGCUGCUGCACACCAGAGGCCACCCAGUUCAAGCGUCCCACCAGAACGUGAAGUUUUUGGUAGAGAAGAAGAUAAGGCCAAAAUUCUUGAUAUGGUAUUGGCCGAUAGCCCAAGUGAUCUUGCCAACUUUGUUGUAAUACCCAUUGUUGGCAUGGGCGGGAUAGGAAAAACAACUCUCGCUCGGGAGGUUUACAAUGACAAGGCCGUUGGAGAUUCCAAGUUUGAUGUAAAAGCAUGGGUUUGUGUAUCUGAUGUCUUUGACGUUUUGGGCAUCUCAAAGGCGCUUCUCGAGUCAAUCACCCGCAGGCCAUGUCUUCUAAACAGUUUAAACGAAGUGCAGGUUGAAUUGAAAGUAGCUGUGGAUAAAAAAAGAUUCUUGCUGGUCUUAGAUGAUGUUUGGAACGAGGACUACAGCUUGUGGGUAGACUUAAAAGCUCCGUUCCUGGGUGCUGCACCAAACAGCAAGAUGAUCGUCACCACACGCAAUUCAAGUGUUGCAUCAACAAUGAGACCCAUUGAUCGUCACCGCAAGCAAUUCAAGUAUUACGAUCUCAAGAGUCUGUUAGAUGAUGAUUGCUGGUCCAUUUUCAUAAACAAUGCAUUUGAAUCUACAGACCUUAGCGCACAUCGAAUUUCAGAAUCGUUCCGCGAGAAAGUUGUUGGCAAGUGUGGGGGCUUGCCUCUGGCAGCAAAAACACUCGGGGGCCUUCUUCGUACUAAAACGCAUGCUGAGUGGGACGGUAUAUUGGAUAGCAAAAUAUGGGAUUUACCUCGGCAAAGCAGCAUUCUUCCCGUGUUAAGAUUGAGUUACCAUCAUCUUCCUUCUCAUUUGAAAAGAUGUUUUGCUUUUUGUGCCAUCUUUCCAAAAGAUUAUGCAUUCACUGAGAGGGAGCUGACUUUCUUAUGGAUGGCUGGAGGUAUUAUUCGACAGUCAAGAAACAAUGAGCAGCUCGAAGAUUUGGGCAGCAAGUGCUUUGGUGAUCUAGUGUCGAGGUCAAUUUUUCAACAAACAGCAAUCUCUGAUAGUUCUAAAUUUGUAAUGCACGACCUUAUCCAUGAUCUUGCUGAAUUGGUCUCUGGAGAAACCAUAUUUAGGUUAGAGGAGGCCAAUACUCUGUCAAGAAGUUUUGAAAGGGUUCGCCAUUCUUCCUAUGCUUGUGGUGAAUAUGAUGGUAAAAAUAUGUUCGAGGUUUUCAAUGAAAUUGAACAUCUACGAACAUUCUUGCCAUUACGCUUACGCAUACGAGGUACUUUUUACAUAACUAGAACGGUUCUAUCCGAUUUGCUGCCAAAGUUCAAAAAAUUGAGGAUGCUAUCUUUAGAAGGAUACUGUAUUGGUGAGUUACCGAUUCCAUUUGAAGAUUUGAGACUUUUAAGGUUUCUCAACCUUGCUGACACUGACAUAAGAAGUUUACCCGAGUCAACAUGCAAAUUGCUGAACUUGGAAAUUUUGAUAUUAAGAAAUUGUUCCCUUUUGAUAAAGCUUCCACCCAAAAUGAGGAAUUUGAUCAAUUUACGCCAUUUGGAUUUAAGAGGUGCGAAGUUGCUGAAGGAGAUGCCAGUCGGAAUGAAAGAGCUGAAGAAGCUUCAAACAUUGUAUAAUUUCAUUGUGGGCAAGGGUGAAACUGCAUCCGGUUUGGAAGAUUUAAAAAGUUUAAACUUUCUUUGUGAUGAACUUUGCAUUGUUGGAUUAGAGAAUGUGAAUAAUCCACAGAAUGCAAGAGAAGCCGCAUUAUGCGAGAAGCGCAAUCUUGAAGCAUUGACCCUAGAUUGGGGGUCUCAAUUUGACAAUUCUCGAGAUGGAGUAGUAGAAGAGGAUGUACUGGAAAUUCUACAGCCUCAUAAAUGUAUUAAAAAGGUGGCAAUCAGGAACUAUGGUGGUGCAAGAUUUCCACAUUGGAUAGGAGAUCCUUUGUUCUCCAAAAUAGAGUUCCUUGAAUUGGAGAACUGUGACAAUUGUGCAUCUUUGCCAUCGCUUGGCCGUUUGAGGUCCAAGAUUAACGAUAUUACUAGCCGGUUGGAGCAACUCUGCCAAGAAAGAAUUGAACUUGGACUGCAACGGAUUACCGGAGAGGCAUCAUCAACUGCUGCUGCUGCACACCUGAGGCCACCCAGUUCGAGUGUCCCAACAGAACGUGAAGUAUUUGGAAGAGAAGAAGAUAAGGCCAAAAUUCUUGAUAUGGUAUUGGCCGAUGCCCCAAGUGAUCAUGCCAACUUUGUUGUAAUACCCAUUGUUGGCAUGGGCGGAAUCGGAAAAACAACUCUCGCUCGGGAGGUUUACAAUGACAAAGCCGUUGGAGGUUCCAAGUUUGAUGUAAAAGCAUGGGUUUGUGUAUCUGAUGUCUUUGACGUUUUGGGCAUCUCAAAGGCGCUUCUCGAGUCAAUCACCCGCAGGCCUUGUCUUCUAAACAGUUUAAACGAAGUGCAGGUUGAAUUGAAAGUAGCUGUGGAUAAAAAAAGAUUCUUGCUGGUCUUAGAUGAUGUUUGGAACGAGGAGUACAGCUUGUGGGUAGACUUAAAAGCUCCGUUCCUGGCUGCUGCACCAAACAGUAAGAUGAUCGUCACCACACGCAAUUCAAAUGUUGCAUCAACAAUGGGGCCAGUUGAACAUUACAAUCUCAGGAGUCUAUCAGAUGAUGAUUGCUGGUCCAUUUUCAUAAAGCAUGCAUUUGAAUCUAGAGAUCUUAACGCACAUCAAAUUUCAGAAUCAUUCCGCAAGAAAGUUGUUGCCAAGUGUGGAGGCUUGGCCCUGGCAGCAAAAACACUCGGAGGCCUUCUGCGUACGACGAGGCAUGAUGCGUGGGAUGAUAUAUUAGAGAGCAAAAUAUGGGAUUUACCUCGACAAAGUGGGGUUCUCCCAGUAUUAAGAUUGAGUUACCAUCAUCUUCCUUCUCAUUUGAAAAGAUGUUUUGCUUUUUGUGCCAUCUUUCCAAAAGAUUAUGAAUUCACUGAGAAGGAGCUGACUUUCUUAUGGAUGGCUGGAGGUAUUAUUCGACAGUCAAGAAACAAUGAGCAGCUGGAAGAUUUGGGCAGCCAGUGCUUUGGUGAUCUAGUGUCGAGGUCAAUUUUUCAACAAACAACAAUCUCUGAUAGUUCUAAAUUUGUAAUGCAUGACCUUAUUCAUGAUCUUGCUGAAUUGGUCUCUGGAGGGACCAUUUUUAGGUUAGAGAAGUCCCCCAACUUGUCGUCAAGCGGAUUUGAAAGAGUUCGCCAUUCUUCCUAUGCCGGCGGUUUGCAUGAUGGUAAAAAUAAGUUUGAGGUUUUCUAUGAAAUUGAACAUCUACGAACAUUCUUGCCAUUACGCUUACGCAUACGAGGUACUUUUUACAUAACUAGAACGGUUCUAUCCGAUUUGCUGCCAAAGUUCAAAAAAUUGAGGAUGCUAUCUUUAGAAGGAUACUGUAUUGGUGAGUUACCGAUUCCAUUUGAAGAUUUGAGACUUUUAAGGUUUCUCAACCUUGCUGACACUGACAUAAGAAGUUUACCCGAGUCAACAUGCAAAUUGCUGAACUUGGAAAUUUUGAUAUUAAGAAAUUGUUCCCGCUUGAUAAAGCUUCCACCCAAAAUGAGGAAUUUGAUCAAUUUACGCCAUCUCGAUAUAAGAGGUGCGGAGUUGCUGAAGGAGAUGCCAUUCGGAAUGAAAGAGCUGAAGAAGCUUCAAAUAUUGUACAAUUUCAUUGUAGGCAAGGGUGAAACUGCAUGCGGUUUGGAAGAAUUAAAAAGUUUAAACUUUCUUUGUGAUGAACUUUGCAUUGCUGGAUUAGAGAAUGUGAAUAAUCCACAGAAUGCAAGAGAAGCCGCAUUAUGCGAGAAGCACAAUCUUGAAGCAUUGACUCUAGAAUGGGGGUCUCAAUCUGACAGUCCUCGGGAUGCAGUACUAGAAGAGAAUGUACUUGACACUCUACAGCCUCAUAAACGUAUAAAAGAGCUGGCAAUCAGGCACUAUGGUGGUGCAAGAUUUUCACUUUGGAUCGGAGAUCCUUCGUUCUCCGAGAUGAAGGUCCUUAAAUUGGAGAACUGUGACAAUUGUGUAUCUCUGCCAUCGCUUGGCCUGUUGAGUUCACUUAAGCACCUUGCUGUUAAAGGGCUGAAGAAACUAAAAAGCAUAGAGUCUGAGGUUUAUGGGGAGGGUUUCUCGAUGCCUUUUCCAUCAUUGGGGAUUCUAAGUUUCGAGAAUUUGCCAGAAUGGGAGCAUUGGGACACCGAGAUCAAAGGAAAUGCGCCUGUUGAUAUAUUUCCUCGUCUCCAAGAACUUUCCAUUGCAGAAUGUCCCAAACUCUCUGGACAACUGCCUGAGCUCCUGCCUUCCUUGGAGACACUUGUUGUUAGUAAAUGUGAAAAGUUAGUAGUUCCAUUGUCAAGUUAUCCGAUGCUCUGCAGAUUAGAAGUUGAUGAGUGCAAGGAGCUAGUGUGCGGGACUCUAAUUGAUUUUAAGUUGAUAAAGUCCAUGACUAUUUCAAAUAGUUCAUUAGACAUGAAUGGACGCAAGGGGAUGCUAUACGAUGGUCUAGCUGGCUCUUCACUUCCAAAGCCCAUGACUACUACAAAUGUUUUGGAGUUUGGAAAAUUAUUGAAGCCUGGAUUUCAGAUAUUAGAAAUUUUGGUAAUUGGCAAUUCUGAACAGCUCAAGUCAUGGAGGCAGCAUGGAGAUUGGAGUACUUCGAUUAAACCAGUACAAGGGCUGAAUAUGCUCGCUCACAAUGAGGAGGUAUCAAUUGAAGAAAGUUGCGUUCGUCUUGUUUUGUUUCCAGAGAUCAAUUUCUUUCCCAGAAAUCUGCGCUCUCUUCUAAUUAACAACAACACUGCUUUCAAAUCCUUACCCGAGGAAAUGAUGGAAAACAAUUCACAACUCGAAAGGUUGUAUAUCAAGGAUUGCGACUCUCUAACAUUCAUCGCAAGACGGAGGCUACCAGCAUCUCUUAAAAGGCUUGAGAUAGAAAAUUGUGAGAAAUUGCAACGUCUGUUCGAUGAUGAAGAGGAUGCUUCUUCUUCUUCUCGUGCAUCCUCGUCUUCCCCAGUGAUGCUGCAACACCUGAUUAUAGAGAACUGCCCAGAGCUCACCAGUUUAUCAUCGGGUGUCCAAUUCCUUGAGGCGCUUGAAUACCUCGAGAUACGGGAUUGUCCAAAGCUGGAGUCAAUACCGGAUGGCCUGCACAAUCUUAAAUGUUUACAGAGCAUUUAUAUACGGAAAUGUCCAAGUCUUGUUUCCUUCCCAGAAAGAGGGCUUCCCAACACGAUUUCAAGGGUUGACAUUUGCAGCUGUGACAAGCUCGAAGCCUUGCCCAAUGAUUUGCACAAACUCAACUCUCUUCGAGGUUUAAGCAUCCAGAUCUGUCCAAAUCUUGUAUCGUUUCCAGAAGAAGGUUUUCCUACCAAUCUAACAUCACUUACAAUUGGAUAUUUCAAAAUGUAUAAGACACUCGUCCAGUGGGGGUUGCACAGGCUUACCUCUCUUAGAGACCUCUGGAUCGUUGAAUGUGAUGAUGAAGCAGAGUGUUUUCCAGACGAGGAGAUAGGAAUGACGCUGCCUGCCUCUCUCACUCAUCUGCAUCUUGAUGGAUUCCAAAAUUUGAUAUCUCUGUCUUCGACGGGUUUUCAGAGCCUAACCUCUCUUCAAUCUUUGUGGAUCUGGGAUUGCCCAAAUCUCACAUCAUUUCCAGAGGUGGGCCUUCCAUCCUCACUUUUGGAAUUACACAUUAGAGAUUGUCCAAAGCUUAAAAAAGCGUGCAAAAGGGAUCAAGGAAAAGAGUUGCCCAAAAUUGCUCACAUCCCUUGCGUUGAGAUAGACGGUAAAUUCAUAUACGAUCCAGAAUCAGAGGAGUAGAUUCUAUUACAAAGGUCAGUUGAUUUGUAUUAUCCGCUAUAACAAGCUCCUCCUAAUUUUUUUUUUCUAAGUAAUAAUUUUGCAGUCACUCACGUGAUUCCGUUUUCACAAGUCAGAUUGUAUGUUGAGGCUAUUUGCCUUUUAAUCGCAGAUUAAAUUAUAACACUUAUCUUAAAAUUUAAUACCAUACACAGAUAGACGAUUUUUUUAUCCAAAGUUUCAAUCAAGAAUUGGAGGAUGUGAAUGGGAUUUUUGUGAAAACAUAAUGGAUGAACGAACAUUUCAUCUGUGAUCUCAAAGUCAACAGAAUUUUAUUUACUCGUUGACUUUUCAACUCCUUGGUUGUUGCUGGGUGAAAGAUAAGGGCAAUUACAAGAUAUUUGCAAACUUUGUCAAUUUCUUAGAUGGUAGAUAUAUCGACAUUUUAGAUUUCAGAUAUUUUGAUGCUUUUUUAAUUUUGAUCUAGUAGAAAUACAUAGCCUUCACCGACAGGAAUUGAAAUUGAAAUUUUUGUCUUCAAUGGGUUUUCAAAGCCUCGCCUCUCUUCGAUUUUUGUGGAUCGGGAAUUGCACAAAUCUCACAUCAUUUCCCGAGGUCGAGGAAAAGAGCGGCCCAAACUUGCUCGCAUCCCUUGGGUUAAUAGAUUCUCUUAUUAAGGUCAGCUGAUUUCUAUUAUCCACUCUGACAAUCUCCUAUUAGUGUUUUUCCUUUUGAAAUUUUUUUUCUAAAAUUUUGCAGUUCCGUAUAAUUGAAAAUGCCACUCACUUGUUUCCUAUUAGUAUGUUGAGGCUAUUUGCUUCCUAUUAGUGUUUGUUAAGGUAAUUAGUGCUCCCUCGUCGGUAUGACUGGAUUUUUUUCACUUCCGUAAAUAUUGCAUUUUAGACUGGCAAAUUUAGCAGUAAUUUUAAUUUGAUACUCUGAUUAAGAAGCCUGAUUAUAGUAGCUGACUUUUUUUGUGUGGUUUGCUGUUGUUUAUUCUUUCGAUUAAUUUCAACAUUAGGUUGAUCUGUUGAAGAACAAACUUGGGUUUGAUUAUGCUUUAACUACAAGGAAGAGCCAGACUUGGAUGCAGGCGUUCGGCUUUUAAUGGGUAAGAACAAAUGUAUGCUUUAACCAUGUUUCUCACUUAUUACAAUGCACGCAUUGAAGGCAUCUGAGCUGAUCCUGAAAAUGUGGUGGAAAUACUUCUCUGUUUACAUAAAAUAGACAAAUAGAGAUCUCUGAUCAUGCCUGAGAAUUCGUUGCAUUUCAAAUUUCUACCAUUGCCAAAAAUAGAAUAAACUAGGGAUACAUUAGCUUAAGACUCAAUUUUGAGAAGGAAGUUUGCACAUGCAGCCUAAAAAAUCAUGUCCGUGUUGUAUACUUGUAUGUUUCUUUGGGAAAUGAAAGAUUCUGUAUGUUCUUUUAUUUCAAGUUUGCUGAAAUCACAUUUGUUUUCGUAGAUGCUUUUGGGAAGGUAACAAGAUCAAUUUCAUAAAUGCUGGGGUAAGAUGCAUCACGCAGUGCUACUCAACAUGAGAAUUCCCGGCCGCAUUAACUGUAUGUUGAGUGAUCGCACAGUACAACCUUUAGAAGCUUGUAAGGAGUAGACAACUAGAUGCGAAUAGUUUCAAUAUGGAUUCACAUCAAAUGAUCUCUUGCCAGUGAUUACUAUAACCUCUAUCCCAAAAUUCUUGGAACUGGUCAUACCAAUAAUGAAGUAUUGUGUAUGUUGAAGACAUAGCUCAAGGCCUUGCGAAAGCUCCGUCAGCCUUUGUAUUGGAAAACAAUUGGUUGUAGUUGCUUCUGAAUGAUAUUAUUAAUAGACACUGUAAAAAUGAAGUGUGCCACUCAUUUUCAGAGCCCUGUUAAGAUGUGUUGGUAAUGUGUUUGAAGGUUGUUUGAUUUAUGUUGUAUUCAGCUAUAAAUCAAAGAUUCAGAACAUGGGUAUGUUACUGGUUUCCAAAUCAAAAAAUUGCCUUGUGAUGUUAGUGUUCAUUGUUUUCACAGGAGAUCAGGUUCCCUGUUGAUGAAUCAAGAAGGCAAACGCAUCCAUGUCUUAAGUUCAAAUGUGUCUCUUCUAUUUUCUAUUACUGACUCCUUUAUUUUGAUUUCUUCAUUGUAAUGGAAUUGGUUUUUUAUUCCAAAUUAGUCAAAACCUCCUAGAGUCAUUAAGUUCUGUUAGCAUUUGAAGAUAGAACUAGAACUAAAUGAUUGACUGGAUUAAAUUCCGAUAAAGAAUUAAGUUAUAUAUUUAGAGAUAUUAUGUUUUUUUUUUCAUUUGUUCAAUUUGGUUAGUGGUGAUUUCUUAAAGACUCAAUCCAUGUGCGUUUAUGCAUUUUUAUUUUGCCUUAAUUUCUGUUUCUAAAGUCUUCAACAGCAUUUUCUUUUUAACCUUUAUCCUCAUGGUUGUUUUUGCAGUUGUUCUUUAAGAAAACAUUUAAAAGGUUCUCUUUAUGGAUUUUUGAAAAUAAUUUUAACAUAAGCAAUUUUCAGAAGCACUUUAGAUGUCUGGCAUUUAGAAAAUUUUAUUCCGGUGUCACAUAAAAUACUUAGGAAGUUAAAUUUAUUUAUUUAUGAGCAUGUGCCAGUGCCCAGUGGCAUCCUCUUCACUUGUGAUAGUCAAAUAUAUUAUACGAUACAAUGUUAGCUUGACUGUAGCACAGAGGAGAAUAGGGUUGGUGUUGGUCUGAACCAGCUUAUGUAACAGCUGCCAAAGGAUAAUUUAAUUGUACUUUGAGUAAAGCUUUUGCGAAUUAAACAAGUGAUAAUUUGUUUCUAUUAAGAAAAACUUAAAGGAUAGGGCUAUUUUAACUCACCAAACUACACAUUAAAAAUCCACUUACAAAAAUAGUUUUUAAUUAUUAAAAUAUUCCUAAAUCAAAUUAUAAUUAUAGACACUAAAAUAUUUUUUUUUUAUAUUUUACCCUUUGAAACUGUCUUUAUAUUCGAUAUUAUAUUUUUUUCUUAAACUCUAAAUUGAUAUUUUUUUUUCAUUUUUGAUUAAUUUUAAAACACAUAUAAAGUUAUUCAUAUUGAUUUUAUACUAACAACUAUUAUAGCACAUUCGAAAAAUAAUUAAAUCGUUCUUAUUUACAUAGUGAAAAUGCAAAUAGCUCAUUCAAAUGUUAAGGAAUUGGAGAGCUGCUGCUGGAGACGAAAGAUGUGAAUUAAACAUCAGAAAAAAAAUUAUGUUCACUAUCUUGCCAGACCAAGCACCGAAAAGCGUCGUAAAGAAAAAUUAGAUAAUUUAGAAGAUAAAGCACGUGGAAUGGAGGCAGAAAGCAAGUAAUGAUAACUCUUUCGACAAACUAAUAUAUAUCAAAAUGCAAUAUCGGCCCUAAUAAAAAAUGAAAAUAAAAAUUCAUUACGAAUACGUGUUAAAGAUAUCCCAAGUAUUAAUGUGACUGAAAUAUUUGAGAUUGAAGAAGAAUUAGGACUCAAAAUCAAUUGGGAGGAAUAAAUGAGAAACCCCAAUACCAAAAAAUACACGCACAAAUCCUAAUACUAAUUGUAAUCACGGAUAAAAAGCAUAAUACAAAUAAAUUACAUGGGCAACUAUUCCAUUGAGAAAUUAAUUAAAUCGUGUAUUAAUAUUUUGUAUACAUAUAUUUUUCUAUAUAUAACUUUUGGUAAUUUAAUUUUCCACUAAUCAUUUUUACUCCAAAAAAUAAUUGAGAAUAUUAUUUAUGUUUUGGUACAAAAUAUUUGAACAAUAUACAAAUUUUCAGUUUAAUAAAUCUAAACAUCUAUUAAGUUAUAAAUGAAUUUAAUGGGUUUAAUUAAUAAAAUUACCAUUAUUAUAUAAAUUGGGUUUAGUAAUGGUAUAUUGGGUGGGUUUGUUGAGUAAAUUUUAAAAUUUAAAGAUGGGUUUAUUUAGUAAAUGAGUUAAGGGAAUAGUUUGUUGGGAUUCACGUAGCCCCACCAAAUUCAAAAGUAAAAUUUUUGAAAAAAAAAAAGCUAUUGAGUUAUUCUUUUAAAAAAAGAAUUAAAAUGUCAAGAAUACCUUUAUUUAAUUUUAUAAUCUUAUUUUAUAGUCAUAUUUUAUUUCCACCUUAACAUAAUUUUAAAAACCUUAACUAAUAAAUUCUAUAUUUUUUUUUAUAAAAGUUAUCAUUAAUAUCCAAACGGCUAAAGAUUUUUUUUUUAAAAAAAAAAAGGAACUAUGCUUACAAAAGUUGUAUACAUUAACAAUAAAUUUAGUCCAAAGAAUAAAGUUAUUCCAAACAAGCACUCCAAUUCAUCUUGCUAAUGAAUCAAGAUGACUGAAUCCUUCUCUAAGCCAAAUCUAUUUUCACUUUUAGGUCAGAAAUUGUCAUUAAAAAAGUGUUUGAUAAAACACGCUCUGGGAACGCUAUUCGUCAUAUGGUUACUCCAAUUUUAUGAAAUCAAUGGGAUUUCAUCAUAUUUAUAACAUUCUUCUUUAAUGUCUAUUCUAACAAAGAAAUCAUAUACAGAGAAAAGGUUUCGUUAAAACUUUUACUAGAAAAACUAACCACAAUUCAUCAUUCAUUUAUAUCUUAAGUAAGCGUAAGAUUUUAUCAUUAAAAUCCCAUCAUGAAAAAACUCAUGGGAGAAAAACUAUAAAAAUUGAAGAAAAAAGAGUAUGGCGUGCAUGUAAAUUAUAUCGAUUUUAUCUAUAUGACAAAUAAGACUCUCUUUUACAAUGGCACGGAUGCUUCAUUGAGUAAUCAUGAUUCUUGCUGGUAGUGCUUUGUUGUAUCAAUCUGCUAGCUAUUCAGCUUUCUUUCUUUCUUUCUUCUUUUUAUUUUUUUGUUUUCAAAUAGCUUGUGGUUGUAGAAAUAUUUCAAUUAAACUAUACUUAAGUACUUAUUUGGUAUAACUUCUUUACUAGCUAAAAGAAUUUUUUUUUUUUUUGGUUUUUUAUAAUUUAAUUAUACUUUAACUAGAGUUUUUGGGAUAAAACAAGUGAUAAUUUCUCUCUAUUAAGAAAAACUCAAAGGGUAGGGUUAUCUCAAUCCACCAAACUAUUUAUGAAAAAUCCACUUAUGAAAAUAGUUUUUAAUUAUUAGAAUGCCUCUAAAUUAAAUUACAAUUAUGGACACUAAAAUAUAGUAAAUUUUUUUUUUAUUUUUUAAAACCGUCUUUACGUUCGGUAUUAUAUCUUUUUCUUAAAAUCUAAAUUGAUAUUUUUUUUAUUUUUGAUUAAUCUCAGAACACGUAUAAAGUGAUUCAUAUUGGUUUUAUACUAACAAACUAUCAUAGCACAUUCGAAAAUAAUUAACUCGUUCUUAUUUGCAUAUGAAAAGGCAAAUAGCUCAUCCAAAUGUUAAAGAAUUGGAGAGCCGCUGCUGGAGAUGAAAGAUGUGAAAAGCAUGGUAAAGAAAAAUUACAUAAUUCUCACUUAGAAGAGGGAGAAAAAAAAAAUACAAUUAGAAUGAGAGGUAGGCAGUAGCCAGUAGCCAGUAGCCACCAUCACCAGUGAAACUAUUUCACAUAAUAGAAGAUAAAGCACGUGUAAAUGGAGGCAAAAAGCAAGUAAUGAUAACUCUUUUCGACACACUAAUACAUAUCAAAAUGCAAUAUCGGUCCUAACAAAAUGAAAAUAAAAAAUUCAUUACGAAUAUGUGUCGAAAUAAGACUCAAAAUCAAUUGAGAGGAAUAAAUGAGAAACUGUAAUACUAAUAAAAUACAUUCACAAAUCCUAAUGCUAAUUAAAAUCACGGAUUAAAAAAAAUAAUAUGAAUAAAUUACAGGCGCAACUGUUUCAUUAAGAAAUUAAUUCAAUCGUGUAUUAAUAUUUUGUACACAUACAUUUUCCAUAUAUAACUUUUGGUAAUUUAGUUUUCCACUUAUCAUUUUUACUCCAAAAAAAUAAUUGAGAAUAUUAUUUAUGUUUUGAUGCAAAAUAUUUAAACAACGUACAAAUUUUCAGUUUAAUAAAUCUAAACAUUUCUCAAGUUAUAAAUGAAUUUAAUGGGUUUAAUUAGUAAAAAUACUAUUAUUUUAUAAAUUGGGUUUAGUAAUGGUUAUUGGGUAUUUAAAUGGGUUUGUUGAGUAAAUUUUAAAAUUUUAAAGUUCAAGGGUGGGUUUAUUUAGUAAAUGGGUUAAGGCAGCAAUUUUCCAAACUACAAUUUUUGGAAAAAGAGGCUAUUGAGUGUUUUUUUUUUUUAAAAAGAAUUAAAAUGUUGAGAAUACCUUUAUUAAUUUUAUAAUCUUAUUUUAAAAAAUUUACCCAAUAAAUUUUAUAAUUUUUUAUAAAAAUUAUCAUUAACAUCCAAACAGCUAAAGAUUUAAAAAAAAAAAAGAAGAAGGGAACUGUACUAGCAAAAGUUAGAUUAACAAUAAAUUUAGUCCAAAGAAUAAAGUUAUAGCUAAAAAGUGCUCCUAUCCUACUUUUCUGUAUUUUAACAAUAAUCUUCCAAUCCGUUUUACAAUGGACUUUAACAAAUGGGCUCAAUCUCUAAACUUCAUUUUCUUUUGCUUACCCAUGGCCAUUAGCCAGAAAGCCUAAAACAAUUUUAGGAUCACAUGUGUAAAUGGAACUCCAAGAUUGAUCAAGAAUUAACAAGACAAGAUGAAGAGAUGAUCUUGUAACUAAGAAUGAAGAAAUUGAAUCAAGACAGUACUCUAGUAAAACCCAGAAAACAGAGCUUGAAGAAUCACGCACAAAGCAGUAAAUUUGUAAAACCAGAAUUGGAGCUUCACUUCUCAAGAGAGACGAAACAGGAUACAAUCUAGCUUUGGUCAACUUCGUUUGGCCACGUCAUAAAGUCUUCCCCCACAGUCUUUCCCGCCAAAACAGAAAAGCUUUAAAAGCCAUUUACCUUCCUGAGUUACUUGCUCCUAUUACAUCAAGGCCCUGUAAGUCUAUAUUUAUUAUUACAAAAGCACCCUUAAACUGAGAUUUGAAGCAUACUUCAACAAUGUUGAAGCGCAUGAUUUCACGGCUAUGUUGCAUCGUCAAUUUUAGUGCUUUACAGUUAAGGGAUAGUUUAAAUUCAUUACAAAGCAUUCGCAAAGAAAUUGUUUUUAAAUGAAACUCCUCGUCUUGACCAGAUUAUUUAUUAUUAUUAAAAAAAAAAUGUUCAAAACUUAGCCAAAGUGAUAAACUCGUAAUUUUUCUACAAAGGGAACAAUUUUGAAAGGUCGGAAAUUCCAUAAUUAUGGUUUUCGGUGAAUUAUUUUAAAUAAAAUUAUAAAAACCAAUAUAAAAUUAUUACCCAGUAAAGACUUUAGAGAGACAAGUGCCCCCAAGAGGAUCUAAGUGAAUAUGCCCCACAAAGAUCACAUGAUCAUUUCUUGUUCUUUUUCUUUUUGACAAUUUUAUCUGUGGUUUCAACUUUUAUGCUUUAUUGUCGUAUCCCGUUGAGGGCUCCGCUGCACCCGUUACAACUUACCCCUAAAUUGCCUCUUACUAACUAAACCGUUAGAGUUUAUGGAAGCGCGUUCAAUGCUGAAUUUUAAUUAUGUCAUCAAAUUUCGUUCAGCUCCUUUAACUCCAUUUUAUUUGUAAUUUCUUCAUAAAAUAGUCAAAGCUUCAUCAAGCUCCUAAUGGACCAUCAUGGCUAGGGGUGCAUUAGAGCCGAACUGAAAUAUGUUAGUUUAGUUCAGUUUGGUCAGUUUAAAUCGAAUGGUUUAGAACAUAUAAACUGAUCAAUUUUAAUUUUGAAUUGAACCGAACCGAAAAUCAAUUGGUUCACUAUUAGUAUUUUUGUAUAAACACGAAUGAUUAGUGAUUAUAAUUAAAUUGGACUAAAAAAAUUCAAAACUAAGGUUAAAAAAAAUUCAAACUAAGGUGGAAAAAAUAAAAUCUUAGACAAUAUAAAAGAAAAAAUAUUAAAAAAUUUUAACCGAAACGAACUGAAUUAUUUUGACUCAGUUUGGUUCAUAUUUGGUUCAAAAUUUUUUAAACCAAACUAAUUUAUUCCCACCCCCUAAUCGUGGCCCUCUAUCUUUAGUCAUUCACCCUUGAGUUUGAUACCAAUUGUUGGGUUUCAAAUGAUUAUACACUCAAAUGGAACCCUCAUAACAAAAAAACUAACAGAAACAAUAAGAACACGAUGUUAAACUCUUAAAUCAAUUGCAAAAAAGCACCCAAAACAGAUCAAUUAGGAAUAGUUAACAACAAAAGAUUUGAUGGUUCAAAAUCAUAAUGUGACCUACUUCCAUCCAAGAAUCAUACUAAUUGCUUUACUAGUUGUCAAAUACAUGAUCACAAGAUUAUUUAUCACUCUAUAGAGAAAAACUUUUUAGAAUAAAUACUCCCCAAUUUUUCUCUUAAUAGUUAUGAAUCAACACCCCUAGAAAGGCUAUUGAUUUACUUUUCCUUAUUUCCUAUGAUCGGUUGCUGCAACUUAAUCCUUGCCAAGCUCCAACAUAGUCCAAACACUGUUCAUGGUGCAUGCAUAGUGCACCUUCAGAAACUUUACAGCUCUUCUUAAAACCUCAGGCCUAUAGAGUGCAAUUUCCCACCUAUAUGCUUAGUCCUCUCAGUUCUCGUGAUGUUUCUGAUUUAUUUAUCGGACGAGUAACACUUUUAGCUGUCAUAAUACAAUGUAAUUGACUUCUGAGCAUGACUUAAUUUUGAGAUCAUUACUUUUAGUUAAAUGAUCUCCAGAGCUUCUACCUAUGUUGUGUUUUUAGACCUCUAUAGUUGAUAAAGCAUGUUCAAGGUGAAGGCUUGUUUUCCAAUCUAUAGUCCAAUUAUAGACUGGAAAUGGUCAGGCUUAAUGCACCUUCAAAAGCUUCACAAUUUGUAUUGAAACCUUAAGCCUUAGAAUGCUACAAAUUUUAAAUCCAUAUACUUAGUGCUCUUAUGAUUUGUUUGAUUUUUUCUUAGAUGAGGAGCAUUUUAGCUAUAGAAUACAUUGUAACUAAUUCAAAGCAAGCCUUAGCUACGAGAUCAUUCAUUCUAGCCAAAUGCCCCCUUUAGAGAUUCUACUAUUGUUGAGUAUUCAGCCUCUAUAUUUGGCAAAGCAAUUACAUGUCGAAGGCUUGCUUGCUUUCCAGUUAACAGCGCAAUUACAUAGAUUAAAGGUGUAACCAGGCAAAGAACUUAGUUAUUCUGCCAAGGUCUCCAACAUACUCCAAAUCCAUAUAACCACCAAACUUCAAUCUUUAGACUCCAUAGAUCAAACCAUAACUUAGUGUGCCUUUCAAUCUCAGGUAACAUUUUACUGUUUUCCACGUCUUGCCAUGUACUUGCUGCGAACACUAACAAUUUGAGAAAUGUUAGGCAUCGUAAGCAGCCGACAACACUCUUCUUCAUUUCUUCAUUGUCAAUUUCCUUCUUGGAACAUUGCUCCAUUGACAAUUUACUGGAAGUAAAUUUCAAUGACAAUUUACUGGAAGUAAAUUUCCUAUGACCCUACAGGUGACUAAUUAACGAGAACUUGACAAUGACAAAAGAAAGUGUAUGAGCUUUGCAGGCUGGCAUGCCAAUAUUGACUGUAUGGUGGAGUCCACUGGGACCACAUCACAUGGUCAGUCUUAUCUCUAUUCCUCAAUUUUCAGUAUUCCAUACAUCAAACCAAUUUCAGUUUUGUUAUCAAUUAUAAUUUCAUUGUUGGUGACGAUUCUGAUUCCUUUCUUUCUGACAAAACGGAACCAUGGUUGCUGUGGGAGAGAUCUUACUCAACGCCUUCUUUCAGGUGUUGUUCGACAGGUUGGCUUCCCGCGAUUUGCUCAGCUUUGUCCGUCAACUUGGAGGCGGGGUCGAUUCCGAGCUCAAGAAGUGGCAAAGAAAGCUGAAGAUGAUUCAGGCGGUGCUCAACGAUGCGGAGGAGAAGCAACUGACUGACGAGGCUGUGAAGAUGUGGCUGGACGAUCUCCAAGACUUGGCUUAUGACGCUGAGGACAUUCUUGAUGAGUUUGCUACUCAAGCUUUGGAAAGCAAGUUGAUGGCGCAAAAUCAGGAUAGCUCUGGCCAGCUUCUCAGUUUCAUCCCGGCUAGUUUGAAUCCGAAUGCUGUUAGGUUCAAUUAUAGCAUGAGGUCCAAGAUUAACGAUAUUACUAGCCGGUUGGAGCAACUCUGCAAAGAAAGAAUCGAACUUGGACUGCAACGGAUUCCUGAAGGGGCAUCAUCAACUGCUGCUGCUGCACAUCAGAGGCCACCCAGUUCAAGCGUCCCACCAGAACGUGAAGUAUUUGGAAGAGAAGAAGAUAAGGCCAAAAUUCUUGAUAUGGUAUUGGCCGAUAGCCCAAGUGAUCAUGCCAACUUUGCUGUAAUACCCAUUGUUGGCAUGGGCGGGAUAGGAAAAACAACUCUCGCUCGGGAGGUCUACAAUGACAAGGCCGUUGGAGAUUCCAAGUUUGAUGUAAAAGCAUGGGUUUGCGUAUCUGACGUCUUUGAUGUUUUGGGCAUCUCAAAGGCACUUCUCGAGUCAAUCACCCGCAGGCCUUGUCUUCUAAACAGUUUAAAUGAAGUGCAGGUUGAAUUGAAAGUAGCUGUGGACGGAAAAAGAUUCUUGUUGGUCUUAGAUGAUGUUUGGAACGAGGACUACAGCUCGUGGGUAGACUUAAAAGCUCCAUUCUUGGCAGCUGCACCAAACAGUAAGAUGAUCGUCACCACACGCAAUUCAAAUGUUGCAUCAAUAAUGGGACCAAUUGAACAUUAUAAUCUCAAGAGACUGUUAGACGAUGAUUGCUGGUCUAUUUUCAAAACGCAUGCAUUGGAGGGUAGAGAUCAUAAUGCACUUGAAAUCUCAGAAUCAUUCCGCAAGAAAGUUGUUGGCAAAUGUGGAGGCUUGCCCCUUGCUGCAAAAACACUCGGAGGCCUUUUGCGUACGACGAGGCAUGAUGCGUGGGAUGAUAUAUUAGAGAGCAAAAUAUGGGAUUUACCUCAACAAAGUGGGGUUCUCCCAGUAUUAAGAUUGAGUUACCAUCAUCUUCCUUCUCAUUUGAAAAGAUGUUUCGCUUACUGUGCAAUCUUUCCAAAAGAUUAUGAAUUCAAUGAGAAGGAGGUGACUUUUUUAUGGAUGGCCGGAGGAAUUAUUCGACAGUCAAGAAGCAAAGAGCGGCUAGAAGAUUGGGGUAGCAAGUGCUUCUAUGAUCUGGUGUCAAGGUCAAUUUUUCAGCAAACAGCAAUCUCUGAUAGUUCUAAAUAUGUAAUGCAUGACCUUAUUCAUGAUCUUGCUGAAUUGGUCUCUGGAGGGACCAUUUUUAGGUUAGAGAAGUCCCCCAACUUGUCGUCAAGGGGAUUUGAAAGAGCUCGCCAUUCUUCCUACGCCAGUGAUUGGUGUGAUGGUAGAAAUAAGUUUGAGGUUUUCUAUGCAAUUGAACAUCUACGAACAUUCUUGCCAUUACGCAUAAGAGGUGGCACUAAUACUAGUUACAUAACUAGAACGGUUCUAUCUGAUUUGCUGCCAAAGUUCGAAAAAUUGAGGAUGCUAUCUUUACAAGGAUACUGUAUUGGUGAGUUACCGAUUCCAUUUGAAGAUCUCAGACUUUUAAGGUUCCUCAACCUUGCUGACACUGACAUAAGAAGUUUACCCGAGUCAACAUGCAAAUUGCUGAACUUGGAAAUUUUGAUAUUAAGAAAUUGUUCCCGCUUGAUAAAGCUUCCACCCAAAAUGAGGAAUUUGAUCAAUUUACGCCAUCUCGAUAUAAGAGGUGCGACGUUGCUGAAGGAGAUGCCAUUCGGAAUGAAAGAGCUGAAGAAGCUUCAAAUAUUGUACAAUUUCAUUGUGGGCAAGGGUGAAACCGCAUGCGGUUUGGAAGAAUUAAAAAGUUUAAACUUUCUUUGUGAUGAACUUUGCAUUGCUGGAUUAGAGAAUGUGAAUAAUCCACAGAAUGCAAGAGAAGCCGCAUUAUGCGAGAAGCACAAUCUUGAAGCACUGACUCUAGAUUGGGGGUCUCAAUUUGACAAUUCUCGAGAUGCAGUAGUAGAAGAGCAUGUACUGGAAAUUCUACAGCCUCAUAAACGUAUAAAAAAAGUGGCAAUCAGGAACUAUAGAGGUGCAAGAUUUCCACAUUGGGUAGGAGAUCCUUUGUUCUCCAAAAUAGAGUUCCUUGAAUUGGAGAACUGUGACAAUUGUGUAUCUUUGCCAUCGCUUGGCCGUUUGAGUUCACUUAAACACCUUGCUGUUAAAGGGCUGAAGAAACUAAAAAGCAUAGAGUCUGAGGUUUAUGGGGAGGGUUUCUCAACGCCUUUUCCAUCAUUGGAGGUUCUAAGUUUCGAGAAUUUGCCAGAAUGGGAGCAUUGGGACACGGAUAUCAAAGGAAAUGUGCUCGUUGAAAUGUUUCCUCGUCUCCAUAAACUUUCCAUUGUGGAAUGUCCCAAACUCUCUGGGGAACUGCCUGAGCUCCUGCCCUCCUUGGAGACACUUGUUGUUAGUAAAUGUGAAAAGUUGGUAGUUCCAUUGUCUCGCUAUCCGAUGCUCUGCAGAUUAGAAGUUGAUGAGUGCAAGGAACUAGCGUGCGGUCGUCCAAUUGAUUCUAAGUUGAUAGAGUCCAUGACUAUUUCAAAUAGUUCAUUAGACGUGAAUGGACGCAAGGGGAUGCUAUAUGAUGGUCCAGCUGGCUCUUCACUGCCAAAGCCCAUGACUACUACAAAUGUUUUGGAGUUUGGAAAAUUAUUGAAGCC